rnacentral:misc_RNA from 1 species
GAUGAAAUUGUAGAUAUUUGAAAUGCAGAGAGGCAGCGGUCACUAAACACCAAAAAGGGAAAGGUCUGUUUUGGAUCCAUUGUGUGUUUUAUGUUUUAUUACACGAAACAAAAAGAAGGCCUUCUGCACAAGAAAACUUUCUUCUUUUUGUUUACUAUAUGCCAAUGCCACAACUCUUAUACAUAAAAAUAACACCAGACAAAAACCACUCUGUUUCUGACUGUUACCUAUUAAACAUUCAUAAACAUCACACUUUCUCUGUGUCUCUCCAAAUUUCACAAAUCCUGCCUCCUAUAUUUUGUCUUAAACUUAAGAACCAACCCAUUUGGGUCAAAAGAAAAAGAAGAAAGGAAGAAAAAGGAUUGAAUUGAAAUCCUCUUGUAGACUGCAGAAUGCAGAGGUGUCCUAAUGCUGCAAAAU